CACCGCGGUUAUACGAGGGGCCCGAGUCGACAGCCACCGGCGUAAAGAGUGGUUAGGGUAAAAUUUAAACUAAAGCCAAACUCCUAUUAAGUUCGUCUAAUGUUAAUUAAAAGGGAGAGGCCCAACUACGAAAGUGGCUUUACCAAACCUGACCCCACGAAAGCUGAGACA
rnacentral:rRNA from 1 species